rnacentral:tRNA from 1 species
GCCCGUGUAGCUCAAUCGGCAGAGCGCAGCUUUCGUAAAGCUGAGGUUGUGGGUUCGACUCCCACCAUGGGCUCCA